rnacentral:rRNA from 1 species
UACGAACCGUCCAAACGUUAUUCGGAUUCAUUGGGCUUAAAGGGUACGUAGGCGGCGCUAUCAGUCGGGUGUGAAAGCCCUCGGCUCAACCGAGGAACUGCGCCCGAUACUGUAGUGCUUGAGGGAGACAGAGGUAAGCGGAACUGAUGGUGGAGCGGUGAAAUGCGUUGAUAUCAUCAGGAACACCGGUGGCGAAAGCGGCUUACUGGGUCUCUUCUGACGCUGAGGUACGAAAGCUAGGGGAG